rnacentral:rRNA from 1 species
GACGAACGCUGGCGGCGUGCUUAACACAUGCAAGUCGAACGGUAAGGCUCCAGCUCGCUGGGGUACACGAGUGGCGAACGGGUGAGUAACACGUGGGUGACCUGCCCUGCACUUCGGGAUAAGCCUGGGAAACUGGGUCUAAUACCGGAUAGGACCGCACCGUGAGGGUGUGGUGGAAAGUUUUUUCGGUGUGGGAUGGGCCCGCGGCCUAUCAGCUUGUUGGUGGGGUAAUGGCCUACCAAGGCGGCGACGGGUAGCCGGCCUGAGAGGGUGGACGGCCACAUUGGGACUGAGACACGGCCCAGACUCCUACGGGAGGCAGCAGUGGGGAAUAUUGCACAAUGGGCGGAAGCCUGAUGCAGCGACGCCGCGUGGGGGAUGACGGCCUUCGGGUUGUAAACUCCUUUCACCAUCGACGAAGGGUUUCUGACGGUAGAUGGAGAAGAAGCACCGGCUAACUACGUGCCAGCAGCCGCGGUAAUACGUAGGGUGCGAGCGUUGUCCGGAAUUACUGGGCGUAAAGAGCUCGUAGGUGGUUUGUCGCGUCGUCUGUGAAAUUCCGGGGCUUAACUCCGGGCGUGCAGGCGAUACGGGCAUAACUUGAGUACUGUAGGGGAGACUGGAAUUCCUGGUGUAGCGGUGAAAUGCGCAGAUAUCAGGAGGAACACCGGUGGCGAAGGCGGGUCUCUGGGCAGUAACUGACGCUGAGGAGCGAAAGCAUGGGGAGCGAACAGGAUUAGAUACCCUGGUAGUCCAUGCCGUAAACGGUGGGCGCUAGGUGUGGGUUUCCUUCCACGGGAUCCGUGCCGUGGCUAACGCAUUAAGCGCCCCGCCUGGGGAGUACGGCCGCAAGGCUAAAACUCAAAGGAAUUGACGGGGGCCCGCACAAGCGGCGGAGCAUGUGGAUUAAUUCGAUGCAACGCGAAGAACCUUACCUGGGCUUGACAUAUACAGGAUCGCGCCAGAGAUGGUGUUUCCCUUGUGGCUUGUAUACAGGUGGUGCAUGGUUGUCGUCAGCUCGUGUCGUGAGAUGUUGGGUUAAGUCCCGCAACGAGCGCAACCCUUGUCUUAUGUUGCCAGCACGUUGUGGUGGGGACUUGUAAGAAACUGCCGGGGUUAACUCGGAGGAAGGUGGGGAUGACGUCAAAUCAUCAUGCCCCUUAUGUCCAGGGCUUCACACAUGCUACAAUGGUCGGUACAGUGGGUUGCCAGUCCGUGAGGGCGAGCUAAUCCCGCAAAGCCGGUCUCAGUUCGGAUCGGGGUCUGCAACUCGACCCCGUGAAGUCGGAGUCGCUAGUAAUCGCAGAUCAGCAACGCUGCGGUGAAUACGUUCCCGGGCCU